CACGUAGGGCGCGAGCGUUGUCCGGAAUUAUUGGGCGUAAAGAGCUCGUAGGCGGCCUGUUGCGUCCGCUGUGAAAGCCCGGGGCUUAACCCCGGGCGUGCAGUGGAUACGGGCAGGCUGGAGGCAGGCAGGGGAGAAUGGAAUUCCCGGUGUAGCGGUGAAAUGCGCAGAUAUCGGGAGGAACACCGGUGGCGAAGGCGGUUCUCUGGGCCUGUUCUGACGCUGAGGAGCGAAAGCGUGGGGAGCGAACAGG
rnacentral:rRNA from 1 species